UGGGGUAUUGUGUAAUGGUAGCACACCGGACUUUGAAUCCGUCUGUCGUGGUUCGAAUCCAUGUACCCCAG
rnacentral:tRNA from 1 species